rnacentral:rRNA from 1 species
GUGGGGAAUAUUGGACAAUGGGGGGAACCCUGAUCCAGCCAUGCCGCGUGUGUGAAGAAGGUCUUCGGAUUGUAAAGCACUUUAAGUUGGGAGGAAGGGCAGUAAGUUAAUACCUUGCUGUUUUGACGUUACCGACAGAAUAAGCACCGGCUAACUUCGUGCCAGCAGCCGCGGUAAUACGAAGGGUGCAAGCGUUAAUCGGAAUUACUGGGCGUAAAGCGCGCGUAGGUGGUUUUGUAAGUUGGAGGUGAAAUCCACGGGCUCAACCUGGGAACUGCCUCCAAAACUGCAUGGCUAGAGUACGGUAGAGGGUAGUGGAAUUUCCUGUGUAGCGGUGAAAUGCGUAGAUAUAGGAAGGAACACCAGUGGCGAAGGCGACUACCUGGACUGAUACUGACACUGAGGUGCGAAAGCGUGGGGAGCAAACAGGAUUAGAAACCCCAGUAGUCC